ensembl:misc_RNA Metazoa_SRP Metazoan signal recognition particle RNA
ACUAUGUUCAGAACUGGAAAAAUACCAGGUACUCAGGAGUCUGAGGAAGAAGAAGUGCUUGAGCCCAGGAGCUCUGGGCUGUAGUUCGCUAUGCUGCUUGGGUGUUGGCACUAAGUUUGCCAUCAAUAUGGUGACCUCUGGGGGGGGGGGGGUACUCCAGGUUGCCUAAGGAGGGGUGGACCAGCCCAGGUAAAAAAGGGAGCAGGUCACAAUUCCCAUGCUGAUCAGUAGCAGGAUCAUGCCUGUGAAUAGCCACUGCACUGCAGCCUGGGUAACAUAGCAAGACUGCAAUCUCU